rnacentral:rRNA from 2 species
CCGAAGGGAGCGUGUAACACAGGUGCUGCAUGGCUGUCGUAGGCGGGUCGUGAGAUGUUGGGUUAAGUCCCGCAACGAGCGCAACCCUUGCCAUUAGUUGCCAUCAUUAAGUUGGGCACUCUAAUGGGACUGCCGGUGACAAACCGGAGGAAGGUGGGGAUGACGUCAAGUCCUCAUGGCCCUUAUGACCAGGGCUUCACACGUCAUACAAUGGUCGGUACAGAGGGUCGCGAAGCCGCGAGGUGGAGCCAAUCUCAUAAAACCGAUCGUAGUCCGGAUCGCACUCUGCAACUCGAGUGCGUGAAGUCGGAAUCGCUAGUAAUCGCAGAUCAGCAUGCUGCGGUGAAUACGUUCCCGGGUCUUGUACACACCG